UACGAAGGGGACUAGCGUUGUUCGGAAUCACUGGGCGCAAAGCGCACGUAGGCGGAUGUGUCAGUCAGGGUGAAAUCCCGGGGCUCAACCUCGGAACUGCCUUUGAUACAGCACGUCUCGAGUCCGGAAGAGGUGGGUGGAAUCCUAGUGUAGAGGUGGAAAUUCGUAGAUAUUAGGAAGAACACCGGUGGCGAAGGCGGCCCACUGGUCCGGUACUGACGCUGAGUGC
rnacentral:rRNA from 1 species